ACAGUCUCUGAAAUGCCACCACUGGCGAGAGAUUUGGAAACCUUAUCCCUUUCUCUUCUUGCAAGAUAAAAAGAGGUCAUGUCAUUUUAGAACUUGUCAUGAAAAGCAUUCAGAUUCCUUAUCUCAGCUGAAUCUCCCAGGAUGGCUGUAAAGCCUGAGGGCUCGCAGUAGCUAUCGAGGCACUCAAGGGAUGCACCUGUUUGACUCGUACACAGACUGCCUGAAUCCCACUUCUGACUGGCUGCAGAACCUGGGCAGCUCACCUACCCUCCCACUGCCUCAGCUCUCUUUGCCCAUGAAUGGGGCGAUGAUAGUACCUACUCAUAGAACUGUCAGGACUAAAUAAGUGACCGAUGUGACAUGUGGCAUCAUGCAGCAUCAUCUGGCACGCGGCAAGCAGUAAUCCAUUUGAAAAUGUGAAAACCAUUCUUGGCUUGAGGACCACACAGAAACAAGCGGCGCACCAGAUACUCGAGGGCGGUAGUGUGCUGACCCCAGAGGUAGAGGCUGAGAGUGAAUGAAUCCUGCCAGCACCGCUGAGACUCAUUGUACACGAGAGGAAACGGAGGCUCUGGGAUGUUCCGUAACCGGCCCAGGAGAUGGGCUAGUGGAGAGCAGAGCCUCUCAGACUUGAUUGUUUGGGUUCCCUCUGCAUUUGUCACUACCAUGUGAAGAUGUGUUAAGACUCACCCUUUAUGGGACAAGAGAAGCUGUCCUCAUGGAGGUGCCCCUUCGAUGUAUGAUGGCAUUUCCUGUGGCACUUGGGCCCUUUGGGGAAGCAUAAAUUAGCUAAUGUCUAAGAAGUAGGGGGCCCCAGCCAGGGCACUGGGCAGGCACUGUAGUCCUGACUUGGUAUGUGGCAUAAGGGCAGUGUUCUGUCUAAACAAAACUGUCCCUGAGCUCCGUGGCGCUGGGGACAAGACCCACCAUUCCCUGGGCUGUACUCCUCAAGAAGGAGGUUGGGAGGUCUAGCUGGCAGGUAGCCCUCACGGGCUAACCCAGAAAGGUGGCUUGGUCUCGAGGACAUUGGCACCGUAGCAGGCAAGUGGCAACAAAAUGUGAGUGAGAUAUACAUGUCUGAAAGACAACACUAGGCCAUGAGCUUUCCUGGAGGGCGUGGCUGAGACUGGGAGAGCUCCCCAGAGGGCCACCUGGCCUUUUUCUGGCUCUUCCCCACUCUCCACACGUCAGGCUGUGGGCACAUGCUCCGUAGGGCCAGCUGUGAGGCUGGGGUCUGCUCUCUGGUCCUCCCUCCCCUGUGCUUACGGGGGACCCGGGGGGGCCCUAAGCCGGAGCUGCUGCCCCAGACUGCAGCAAAACCGCGCUGUGCCUGCUGCCCUCAGGCCCGAGCUGGCUUAGGCUUCACCAGAAAGGAAAACGCCCCCUCAUUGUGCAAUGGGUGCAGCCUGUUCUGGAAUCUUCCGCAAGCCAAGCCUGACUGAGCGUGGGUGACCGGGGACCUGGGCACUUGUCUAUUCGUUUUGUAUCCUUUUAAUAUUGUUACAGAAGUAAACACUCCCAAAGUAGAAAAGUUAGAAAAUAUGGAUAAGACAAGAGACAGAUGAAAAACAUCCAUAACCUUGCCUUCCGGAACUGGCAGCCAUCUUGUAGCCAUGAGAACGGCCGUCAAGAGGGCAGCGUCAACACAGAGCAGAGGAGAACCAAGAGAAGAACAGAGAAACAGUAUGGAGCCCUGGUCAAACUGCUUCUGGAGUUCCCCUGGCUCCGGACUGCCUGCCUCUUGGUCAAAGAGGAACUUUCUUCCCAAUGGUGAGAUGUUUCCACUUCCCAGUCUUAUAAGGACUACCCCAACUUGGCGAACAACUGCUCAAGUCUGCGAUGAGUUGCACGUCAGUGGCGCAAAGGACCAGAGAAGCCUGUCCCGGCUUCCUGAGGGAAGAGAGAAGUGUAAAACUGGCUGCACCCCAGAGCCAUCCUCUGCUCUGAAGGUUUGACAGCCUCCUGUGCAUCCCUUUCCAGAGGCCGCCUGUCCGGACCACUCACAGCACUUGUAAGACUGGACCAGAUCACCCUCAGCCCCACUUCUCGCAGACUGGGAUGAGGAUGGGCAGGAUUUCCCUUCCAGUUCUACUUCAGGCAGAACAGCUCCAACCAGCGUGUGGUAGAGACUGCCCUCGGGACCAGGGCGUUUCCCUAGAGAUGAGGGGAAGCCACUCAGCAUGUGUGUGUGCAUCCUUUGUGCACACACCUGAAGACACCAGUUAUCCUUACCGCAUCUUAAUAUGUUUUUAAAAUAUGAUCGUUGUUUGAUCCAAAAGUUAUAUAUAUAUAUAUUUAUAAUGCGCAUACAAACGUCUAGUCGAGAUGAUUUUAAAUCACCCAUAAUGUAAUAAUAGUAUUGUGGUUAUGUUAUUUUAAAGAGCUUUUAUCUUUUAGAGACACAUUCUGAAAUAUUUACAGAUAAAAAGCCAUGAUGUCUGGGAUUUGUUUCAAAAGAAUCCAGUGGUGAGGAAGAAAGUAGGAGGUGCAGACAGAUAAAAUGGACCAUGACUUGAUAAUUGUUGAAGCUGGGUGAUGUGUACAUGGGAAUU